UACGGAGGGUGCAAGCGUUAUCCGGAUUCACUGGGUUUAAAGGGUGUGUGGGCGGAUAUUUAAGUCAGUGGUGAAAUCUCCAGGCUCAACCUGGAAACUGCCAUUGAUACUAUUUAUCUUGAAUAUCGUUGAGGUAGGCGGAAUAUGUCAUGUAGCGGUGAAAUGCUUAGAGAUGACAUAGAACACCGAUUGCGAAGGCAGCUUACUAAACGAUUAUUGACGCUGAGGCACGAAAGCGUGGGGAUCAAACAGG
rnacentral:rRNA from 1 species